rnacentral:tRNA from 1 species
GUCUGUCUUUUCUUAACACCAAGCGCGUUUGUGCUAGAUAGAAAUGGUAACUCCAACAAUUUCUUUGUCCUCAA